rnacentral:rRNA from 1 species
GGGGGGGCGGCUAUAAUGCAGUCGAGCGAACCGACGGGAGCUUGCUCCCUUAGGUUAGCGGCGGACGGGUGAGUAACACGUGGGUAACCUGCCUGUAAGACUGGGAUAACUCCGGGAAACCGGGGCUAAUACCGGAUGCUUGAUUGAACCGCAUGGUUCAAUCAUAAAAGGCGGCUUCGGCUGCCGUUUACAGAUGGACCCGCGGCGCAUUAGCUAGUUGGUGAGGUAACGGCUCACCAAGGCGACGAUGCGUAGCCGACCUGAGAGGGUGAUCGGCCACACUGGGACUGAGACACGGCCCAGACUCCUACGGGAGGCAGCAGUAGGGAAUCUUCCGCAAUGGACGAAAGUCUGACGGAGCAACGCCGCGUGAGUGAUGAAGGUUUUCGGAUCGUAAAGCUCUGUUGUUAGGGAAGAACAAGUACCGUUCGAAUAGGGCGGUACCUUGACGGUACCUAACCAGAAAGCCACGGCUAAAUACGUGCCAGCAGCCGCGGUAAUACGUAGGUGGCAAGCGUUGUCCGGAAUUAUUGGGCGUAAAGCGCGCGCAGGCGG